rnacentral:tRNA from 1 species
GCCCCCAUCGUCUAGGGGCCUAGGACAUCGCCCUCUCACGGCGAAGACAGGGGUUCAAAUCCCCUUGGGGGUACCA